GUCAGUAGUAGUGAAUAGUUAGUUGGUAAAUUAAGCCCCUUUACAAACAAUCGAAGGGAGCUCCCUAGGCUACGUCUUUCUAAGCCGCCAUCUUUUCUGAAACAGUAAGGAACUUUUCAAUGGAAGAGGCUUACUUUUGUGAGAAUGAUAAUUGCCUUACUGGAUCAGCUUAGGCUGCAAUCCAGUACAUGUCUACUCAGAAGUGGGUUCAAUGGGACUUACUCCCAGGGCAUAGCCACCAGGCUGCUAAAUGACACUGCUGCAGCAGAAACCCCCAACUUUUAGAAAAAGGAUCAAAUAAGGGAACAGCAUUGUUUCUUUUCCGAAGUUGAAUGAGUGUAUAACUUGCAGCAGCAGCAAUAUUGCCUUUCUACAAUAAUAUACCAGGAAAUCUAGAACAGAAGAUCACAGCAGCAUCUUGAUGCAAUGGAUGAGAUGCCUUUGCACUCCGCUACAUGAAAGGAAAAUAACUGUACAGCCUGGUGCUUUCUUUGUAUGAAUCAGUUCCAGGGAUUCUACAUACCCCUUGCAGGUGUAUCUCGAAGGACCUGGAAUAAGAAUACCUACAGACUGAAGGCAGAAAAAUAUACUGUGUUGGGGACCAGCUGAGAAUCUGCCCAGAGACACACUUAAAUGAAUACUAAUGCUGAAGAAGGCUUUGUAACUGGCAUGGUUUCGGUUAUGGCAGCAGAAUCUGGAUCCAAUUGAUUAUAAUGAUGUCGGGAGCAAAGAAGUCAGCAAGACCCAAGCAACACUGAUCUAGAUCACAGGAGAUGUGAAUGUGGAAUAGAAUAAUUUGUUCCAGAUGGACUGAACCAUAGAAAUAACAGGAGUCAAUUGACAGAUGUGGUGUAGAAUCUUUGGCAUCAGGGGAUUCUAUCUGUAUAAGACAUCUUUGCACUGAUAAAAAGUAUUCAACUUCAUCAUGACUAAUGGCAGGUAGCUAUCUAAACAACAGGCCACUGGCUGUGUAUACCGCAACACAUACGUUCACAAUCAGGCCAAGUCCAAGAUGUUAGUGUUUGGUAUAUACAGCCCUUAGCACCAGAUUGCUUAAAUGCUCACUUUACUCCAUAUGUGUCCCAUGAUAUGUUCAUUCCGCAUUUGCAAGGAGUCCUUCCUUUGGUUUGGCAGCACCUGUGCUCUGGAAUGCCCUGUCUAUUGACAUUAUGUGGACACCUUCGCGACAGGUGAUGCCUGCUAAAAACCUUUCUGUUUCAGCAGGUCUAUCCAGACACAUGAUUUGGUUACAUCUGUUUUUAAAUUUGCUUUAUUGUGUUGGUUUUUUUUAAAAAAAAAAACACUACAUGCUUUUAAUUGGUUUUAAAUGUUUUAAAUAUUUUAGAUUAUUUUAAUGGUCUUUUAUCACAUAUGUGUUUGUUACCCUGUGGUCCUUUGGGAGGAAGAAUGAGAUAUAAAUUAUAUUAUUGUUGUUGUUCUUGUUGUUACAGUCUUGAAAAUGUCCACAAAAAUUACUAGCUUGCAAUUGAUUGAUUGAUUUUACUAGCCUGGCUGCUAAGAGCCUAAUAGUCUCCAUUUCUGUGCUGAUCUUGGAGGAGGGAGCUUACCCUAUGGUCAGCAUGGAAAUAUAGGAUGCUAGCCUCCUAGCAGGCUAGUUAAAAAAAUUACCUUCUAUCAGGUGAGCUGCUGGAAGAGGGAUAGAAUGACUCAUAUUUCCUCCACCAGGCUCACUUGCUCACAUAGAAUUCUUUAUUGCUUAAUGUUACCAGGAGAGUUGUCAGAUAGAUCCCUGGUGUACAAAACCCUGUGGGAUAUGUCUGAUCUUCAGAAUUAAUGUGAUAUUUACCAUGUUUUAGGUCCAUCGACUAUAUAAUACGGAUUCUUAUCUGCAGCCAUUAUGUAUGAAUGUGUGAAUACUGUCACAGAUACACACAAGCAAGCAAGCAAAUCCUGUGAACAAUUCAAGGGCAUCCUCAUAAUUUUGGAUUUCUUAAUUACGAGUUAAUUAUUUAACCAGUACGAGGCUAUGACUUGGUAAUAGCCUGUGCAGAAGAAAUGAUUUUGAUUAAAUGGGUUACAACUGGCGUCAUUCCAGCGUAAUUUUCUCCUCUUUUUUUUAUUUCUUUUGCCAAUAAUGUGGAAGGAAAAUAGAGACCUGGAAGAGAUCCAACCCCUGGGACACUCUAAUGAAUUAUAAAAGAGAAAUAAUUACAUAGCAUUCCAAAGAAAGGUUUAAGACAGGGGAAGUUUGGUAGUAACAGCUUGGAGAGGAAACUUAAACGGCAUCUGUAACAAGUGAUUUUGAUGGAGCAAAACUGUUUUAAUGAACUUGGAAUGUGUUUAAUAUUCUACAGAAGCUUUUAACUUUGCUUCUAAAGCGAUGUGGUCGCCCCAUUCCUGGUAGCAAUUUCCAUUAACGAGAUAUCGCUCUGUGUUAUAACAAGGCCUUUGAAGAUCAAUUAUUCUGAUGCAGUUUGGUUCUUGAUCACCUUCAUUUUUCAUAUAAAAAGUCUUCUGGGAAAAAUAAACUAA